GAUGAACGCUAGCUACAGGCUUAACACAUGCAAGUCGAGGGACCGGCGCACGGGUGAGUAACACGUAUCCAACCUGCCCUUUACUCGGGGAUAGCCUUUCGACAGAAAGAUUAAUACCCGAUGUAAAGGAUGGGGAUGCGUUCCAUUAGGUUGUUGGUGAGGUAACGGCUCACCAAGCCUUCGAUGGAUAGGGGUUCUGAGAGGAAUGGACCGCGAGUUGGAACUGAGACACGGUCCAAACUCCUACGGGAGGCAGAAGUGAGGAAGAGUGGUCAAUGGGCGUUAGCCUGAACCAGCCAAUUAGCGUGAAGGAGGAAGGCGUAGUUGUCGUAUACUUCUUUUAUAUAAGAAUAUGUAUUAUAUGAAUAAGGAUCGUCUAACUCCGUGCCAGCAGCCGCGGUAAUUC
rnacentral:rRNA from 1 species